UCACCCCUCAAGCCCUCGGCUUGGUCUUGGACGGUUUGGUUUUGGUGACAAGACCCCUCCUAAAAUCAAUGACGGCGGCCUGUUCGACCCCCGGUACACUGAGCUUCUUAAUUGAGCACGUGUCGGUUUCAGGGUAGACAGGACCCGGUCUUCUUCUUUAACCGGAAACUCUUUCCAA
rnacentral:misc_RNA from 1 species